ACGGAGGGUGCGAGCGUUGUCCGGAAUCACUGGGCGUAAAGGGCGCGUAGGCGGCUUCUCAAGCGUGUGGUGAAAGUCCGGGGCUCAACCCCGGAUCGGCCGUGCGGACUGGGGAGCUCGAGUUCUGUAGAGGCGGGUGGAAUUCCGGGUGUAGCGGUGGAAUGCGUAGAGAUCCGGAAGAACACCGGUGGCGAAGGCGGCCCGCUGGGCAGAGACUGACGCUGAGGCGCGACAGCGUGGGGAGCAAACAGGA
rnacentral:rRNA from 1 species